UACGUAGGGGGCAGGCGUUGUCCGGAUUUAUUGGGCGUAAAGAGCGUGUAGGCGGCUUUACAGGUCCGUUGUGAAAACUCGAGGCUCAACCUCGAGACGCCGGUGGAAACCGUAAAGCUAGAGUCCGGAAGAGGAGAGUGGAAUUCCUGGUGUAGCGGUGAAAUGCGCAGAUAUCAGGAGGAACACCCGUGGCGAAAGCGGCUCUCUGGGACGGUACUGACGCUGAGACGCGAAAGCGUGGGGAGCAAACAGG
rnacentral:rRNA from 1 species